CCAGGAAUGUCGUGCAUGUAAGCAUCUGAUUGAAAACGUACCGAUAACUUAUUUCCCUGUGAAACAGUUACAGGUGGUACUAUUCGACCGCUGUGAAUCAUAACGAUCGGAUUGGAGAGCGCCGGAUCAACGACCUUAUUUGACGGUGUCUCUGCCCGGUUCGGUCGUGAAAUUGGUGAACUGAAGUAUGACCUUUUGAUCCAACGGAGCCACAAUUUCCCACAGACAAUCGACGUUGUUAUCGUAGUAGUGCGGAUCCGCCGGAAAUCCGGGACUAGCAAUCGUGCCACUAGGAAACAUUUAACUUGACUACCGUGUAAUAACGCAACUUGAAUCCCUUUUCACUCUGGCCCCUAAGAGAUGUGAAUUGGAUCAACAUUUUAUCGGUUUUAGACGUGAUCCACGGGUAGAAAUAUUCAUGGCCGCUCCAAUCGAGCAUCACCGGUGAGCUGGUGGUGGCCCCAUCGUAAAACUUUAUUGGUUUUCCAACAUCUCAAGAGAUCCACAGGAUUACGAGUUUCAAGAGUGAAGGAGAUGGUUGGCUUCAGCCCAGUGCGGUGAUGUCCCCUUUCCGGAAUAUUGGCAAUCAGCCAAUCCAGGAGAGAGUGGCCACGAGUGAUGGUGCCCCAGAUGGUCUCGCUGGAUUUCUUGAUUUCUUUUCCGCCCUCCAUGACACCGGAAUUAUCCUUGAGGAAGAAGAUGCAUUUCACUUUGGAGAGUCUUCCGUCUUGGUCGAAUGUGGGCUCCAUCGCAGCGUCCAGUUUCACCAAUUGCUCAUCUCCAAUCAGCUCCAAUUUCAACGGAUCGGCGUAGAUCAUCACUUCCGAUUCAAACGGCUGGAAGUCGCUGUGGUGACAUUCCAGCACGCAGAAGGACUCUGGUUUGAACUUUUGACACAGAAAAAUUCAAAUUCAUUCGUGCAAUAAUGGAAAUCUGGACUUACCUCCGGUUCGCCGAAAAUUUUGAAUUCCCUGGGCAUGCGGAAGCAGUACUCCCCUAGAGCCUGGACGAAUUUGUGCUGGAUAACAAACGGUGUGGACAUGACGUGAACUUCACCCACAUCAUUUUCGCCAAUUUUGAAUGAAAACACGAACGGACAGCGAUGGUGCGACGUUCAUCUUCUUCCAUUGGGCCAGUUGCAGGGCGUAAGUGUUGAGAGGCAACUCGUCAAUCGCCCAGCCAGCGCAAGCAUCCCGGCAGGUUUUGCAUUCGUCAUUCUUACAGGCUUUCCCGGUCUUGAACAUUGGAGGCAAACGGUCGCCAGGGGAUGCGAUGGACAUUUAAGUAAUUUUGGUUCGUGUUCUACAGCGUCGAAUGGCACCCAACAUUCACGGCAAAGACUCAGGUCGACAGAAGAUUCCGACAUUCUCAUUCUCUCA